CUCUUCUCUCGCCGCCUCCUGGCCUCCGCACCGACGCGGCCCGGGCUGGAGCCGAGCCGGGGCCGAGCUGCAGGCCGGACCGGAGCCGGAUCUGUACCCGCUGAGACGUGGAAACAUGGAGGCCUGAGCCGGUGUGCGCCACCUGGGCUGCGGCGGCGACAGCGACUUCUCCUGACCCCUCUGCCACCCUCCCAUCCGUCCGCGGGUCCGUGGAGCUGGAGCAGAUCCCCCAGCCGGCUGAGACAGGUUGUCUUUUGGAAAUGCAGGUUUAAGGACAAAUUAUCUGCUUAAGCUAGAAGAUGGGAUCGAAUAGCAGCAGAAUCGGCGAUCUUCCUAAAAAUGAGUACUUGAAAAAGUUAUCAGGCACGGAAUCUAUCUCUGAGAAUGACCCGUUCUGGAAUCAGCUUCUCUCAUUUUCUUUCCCUGCACCAACUAGCAGGCUGGAGUGCAAUGGUGCCAUCUCAGCUCACCGCAAUCUCUGCCUCCUGCAUUCAAGUGAUUCUCCUGCCUCAGCCUCCCGAGUAGCUGAAAUUACAGUAGUGAGUUGAAACUCUUGGAGGAAGCAACCAUUUC
rnacentral:lncRNA from 1 species